rnacentral:rRNA from 1 species
GACAGAGGGUGCAAACGUUGCUCGGAAUCACUGGGCGUAAAGGGUGCGUAGGUGGCGCCGUAAGUCAGGUGUGAAAUCUCGGGGCUCAACCCCGAAACUGCACUUGAUACUGCGGUGCUCGAGUACUGGAGAGGAGAUUGGAAUUUACGGUGUAGCAGUGAAAUGCGUAGAUAUCGUAAGGAAGACCAGUGGCGAAGGCGAAUCUCUGGACAGUUACUGACACUGAGGCACGAAGGCCAGGGGAGCAAACGGG